rnacentral:rRNA from 1 species
UACGUAGGGUCCGAGCGUUGUCCGGAAUUACUGGGCGUAAAGAGCUCGUAGGUGGUUUGUCGCGUUGUUCGUGAAAACUCACAGCUUAACUGUGGGCGUGCGGGCGAUACGGGCAGACUUGAGUACUGCAGGGGAGACUGGAAUUCCUGGUGUAGCGGUGGAAUGCGCAGAUAUCAGGAGGAACACCGGUGGCGAAGGCGGGUCUCUGGGCCACUACUGACGCUGAGAAGCGAAAGCAUGGGGGAGCGAACAGG